rnacentral:rRNA from 1 species
GAGCGGCGGACGGGUGAGUAACGGCGUGGGUAACCUGCCUCAUACACAUGGAUAACAUACCGAAAGGUAUGCUAAUACAGGAUAAUAUAAGAGAUUCACAUGGAUUUCUUAUCAAAGCUCCGGCGGUAUGAGAUGGACCCGCGUCUGAUUAGCUAGUUGGUAAGGUAAUGGCUUACCAAGGCGACGAUCAGUAGCCGACCUGAGAGGGUGAUCGGCCACAUUGGAACUGAGACACGGUCCAAACUCCUACGGGAGGCAGCAGUGGGGAAUAUUGCACAAUGGGCGAAAGCCUGAUGCAGCAACGCCGCGUGAGUGAUGAAGGCCUUCGGGUCGUAAAACUCUGUCCUCAAGGAAGAUAAUGACGGUACUUGAGGAGGAAGCCCCGGCUAACUACGUGCCAGCCGCCGC